GGGGCAGCAUGACUGUAGCAAUACAGUUGAUGGCGACCGGCAAACGGGUGCGGAACACGUACACAACCUUCCUUCAAGUGGGGAAUAGCCCAGAGAAAUUUGGAUUAAUACCCCGUAAUAUAUAGAAGUGGCAUCACUUUUAUCUUAUAGCUCAGGCGCUUGAUGAUGGGUGUGCGGCUGAUUAGGUAGUUGGCGGGGUAACGGCCCACCAAGCCUACGAUCAGUAACUGGUGUGAGAGCACGACCAGUCACACGGGCACUGAGACACGGGCCCGACUCCUACGGGAGGCAGCAGUAAGGAAUAUUGGUCAAUGGACGCAAGUCUGAACCAGCCAUGCCGCGUGGAGGAUGAAGGCCCUCUGGGUUGUAAACUUCUUUUAUAUGGGACGAAAAAGGGUCUUUCUAGAUCAACUGACGGUACCAUGUGAAUAAGCACCGGCUAACUCCGUGCCAGCAGCCGCG
rnacentral:rRNA from 1 species